rnacentral:lncRNA from 1 species
AAAUCUUUCAGGCAGAUGUAAACUGAAGAAGUCCAUUUGUUACUUAGAACAUAACUAGUGAAGAAUGCUAUAAGAUUGUGUUAUUACUGAUAAUCAAAAUAGGGUAACAUUUAUUAGCUUCUUUUCCUCUUAACAUAGCACAUUCUUGUUUUUAUUGUUAGUCAGAGGGUUAAAUCUGGAUACCCAAAUACUUUCAUAUAUUAGUUUUACUUGACCAAUUAAAAGAAUUUUCUGGGACACUUAAUAAUGAGAGGUUAGAAGUAAAGUAACACUGAAAAAAAUCCUGGAAAGAACACCAGGGCCACAGGGAACAGACAGUCUUCAUAACAAUUGCUGCAGAUCUUGAAGAACGCUCUAGAGGCUCCCUCUAUUCCCGCUCUGCAUUGCAUCCAAAAGCUAAUACCUGAAGCAUAUGCAUUAGAGACAUCAAGGCACCUGCUAGGUCAGAGCUCCUAAAGAGCAUCUAAGUAACACAGCUGUGUGAUGAGGCACUUAACAUUCAAGGGCUAGCCAUUCAAUGGACUCUUGUGAGAAGAGCUCAAGUGUUUUUUUUUUGUUUGUUUGUUUGUUUUGUUUUGUUUUGUUUUUCUCUGAUUACUGAGAUAGUUCAGUUAAAGGGACUGCAGGGAUAGGAUGCUUUUCAUGGUAAGAGAGCAGAGGAAGACAAUGAAAAGACAAAGAACAUUUCUGAAGAGCUCUGACCCAUCACGAAGCUAACACAGCAAACAACAGCUAGCAAAGAAGUGGUACAUUAAACACCAUUUGUUGAAAACAAGCAAUUCAUACUCCAAGUAGUAACAUUCCAAGAAAAAAAGAUAAAUUCCAAAAAUGCAGAAAACAAGCCAAGUUUGAAAUGGGGAAGAAAUUUUCAGGCAACAUACACAGUGCUCCAACACCUGGAUACUUUCCCUUGUCCCCAGGAAUGGUCUGAACAUAACCCACACAUCUACACAAGAAGAGGGGAAGAGGCUGCCUGUAAAUCGUGCACAUAGGCAUGGCUGAGGACAGAGCUGGGAACUGCUACCAGAGCCCAUGAAGAGGGUCCACUUUUGGGAUCCAAAUCCCAUGGCAGCAGAGGCUGGAUAGACUAGUCUCAUAUCUCCUGUACAUCCAGCAGCACUGGCACAAGUGGCCAUGCUUAUGUAAUCCACCUUGAAGUUUUUUGGACACACAGUAUACAACUGGAUGGGCAGCAAUUCGUAAUGCAUUUACAUUAUAUCCGUAGCUAGGAGUAAUAGAGCUACAGUGAAUCAGUGUGAUAGAGACAUACUUUAAUUCAUCUGUAGAUACAGUUUGAAUACAGUGGGGAAAAAAAAAAACAAAACAGCACAACAUGUG